GCAAUAAUAUAUGUAUAACCCAGUGAAAAGUGCUUGUCAGCUCUGGGAGUGGGGCGGGACAACAUGAAUCGUGUAACCGUGGAAAAAUAUUCUAAACAAUCAAUCAAAUGAAAUGAAACAAAGCAAGACAAUGCACUUGCGCUCUCUCCCUCACUUCCUUCCCUUCCUCUCUCUAGGUCAGGGGACUGCUGGGUGGCUCAGUGGAUUGAGAGCCAGAGACAGGAGGUCCUAGGUUCAAACUGGACCUCAGACAUUGCUAGAUAUACCUGGGCCAAUAACUUAACCCCCAUUGCCUAGCCCUUACCACUCUUCUGCGUUGGAACCAAAACACAGUAAUGAUUCUAAUAUGGAAGGCAAGGGUUUAUUUAAAAAAAAAGGGGGGGAGGGAAGUGGAGGCAAAUACACACACACACACAAACUAGCUUAUCAGUAGAACUGGGAGAACAUUGUACACAAUAACAGCAAUAUUGUAUAAUGAUUAUCUGUGAAAACUUGGCUACUCUCAACAAGGAGAUUUGGGCCAAUCCUGAAAGACUUUUGACAUGGAAUGAUAUCCACCUUCAGAGAGAGAACUGUUGGAGUCAUCUUUCACAUUGCAGCAAAGAAGCUGUCUUGUUCAAAAGGAGGAGUCUGCAGGAGGACAGAAGUCAGCAAGAGAGUGUGAGAUUUAAAAUGGUUGAGGUCUUAAACUGUAAUGAUUAAAAUAGUGGAAGAUAUAAAUUGUGAUAGAUAUAAGAGAGGGUGAGUAAAUUUGACCGCAGAAAUAUGUUUCACUACAGUGUCUUGGGUUUUAAAAUCAAAUAUAAGGUGGUCGCCAGGGAAAUAUUCCCAAUUAUUCAAAUACCCAAGUCAAUUGGGUUUUAUAGAUAUUUUAAUUAACAAUACAAUGAGUAAUCAAAGAAAGAGAGAGAGAGAGUAAGAAAGGAAUAAGUAUGAAGUGCCUCAAGCCAAUAAGGCCUAGACCUGAGCCUUAAGAGAGAAAUCAGUCAGUUUUUUAUAACUCACCACAAGGUCUGACUAAACAAGGAUUUUAGUGACACCAGGCCAGCGUCCUUCCUCAAAGAGUCUUCCAGCCAGAGAUUGCUUCAAAGGGCCGCUCUCAAGAGCCUCC
rnacentral:lncRNA from 1 species